CGGACUGGCGGCGUGCCUAACACAUGCAAGUCGAACGGAAGUAUUACGCUGCAGAGAUUUCGGUCAAAGCUUGUGAUACUUAGUGGCGGACGGGUGAGUAACGCGUGGGCAACCUGCCUCAUACUGGGGGAUAGCAGUUGGAAACGACUGAUAAUACCGCAUAAGCGCACAGCAUCGCAUGAUGCAGUGUGAAAAAACUCCGGUGGUAUGAGAUGGGCCCGCGUCAGAUUAGCCAGUUGGCAGGGUAACGGCCUACCAAAGCGACGAUCUGUAGCCGGCCUGAGAGGGCGGACGGCCACAUUGGGACUGAGACACGGCCCAAACUCCUACGGGAGGCAGCAGUGGGGGAUAUUGCACAAUGGAGGGAACUCUGAUGCAGCGACGCCGCGCCGAGUGAAGAAGUAUUUCGGUAUGUAAAGCUCUAUCAGCAGGGAAGAAAGACUCGCAAGAGAGAUGACGGUACCUGACUAAGAAGCCCCGGCUAACUACGUGCCAGCCGCGGC
rnacentral:rRNA from 1 species